GAGUGCACCUGCUGCAGCCUGGCACUAGGGAUUUGAAAAUCCAUGGAGAUGGAAACCUAUGCCGAGGUUAGAAGACCUGGAUCCACUUUGCAGGAUUUUAAAUAUCCUUCAAGCCUCAGUGCCUGGCAGACUGGACUUUGGACUUCGGACUUCCAGCUCCGAUGCUGAAAAAGGAGGGUUUUUUUGUUUGUUUGUUUUUCCACUUUGCUUCCUUGCUUGUCGAGGCUGAGAACAUACGGUGUUUUUGAGGGCCACCAUCAAAGGGUACUCGCUUCUCCAAACCUUGGAACCCGAGGUCUAGCCUUGGAAAGAGUUGCCGCCUUACCAUCUCUCCUCGCCUAGGGAAGCCCCAGCUGUGUGCGCUACUGCAGGGUCACAGUGCCGCGGUGCCGAGCUUCUUUCGUGGUCCCUGUCGCCGUCCGUUUCUUGAGAUUUCAGACUCUGGGCUUGGAAACCAGUUGACUGCCUUUCUUAGCGAGGUGCCCUCGGAAACCUGUGGAGGAAUGUUUGGAUUAUGAAUGCUCACCGUGCCGAGGCCAUCUUUAAUCUCUCCUGACAGUCCUCGAAGCUAUGUGACAGAGGUGGAGCACCUGGAAUGCAUAGAGAACCAGGUUCCCUUUGGAAAAUAUUCACUCGCUUCCACCAGCCCAAACCCGAAGGUACCAUCAGUACGUGAGGCCUACAACAGGGUUCUCUGUUUUCCUGUAGCCAGCCUCUCUGAUGCUCCCAACAAUGUAUUUGAAAAGCA
rnacentral:lncRNA from 1 species